GAUGAACGCUGGCGGCGUGCUUAACACAUGCAAGUCGAACGGAAAGGCCGAAGCUUGCUUCGGUACUCGAGUGGCGAACGGGUGAGUAACACGUGGGUGAUCUGCCCUGUACUUCGGGAUAAGCUUGGGAAACUGGGUCUAAUACCGGAUAUGACGAUCUCUUGGAUGGGGUUGUGGAAAGCUUUUGCGGUAUGGGAUGAGCUCGCGGCCUAUCAGCUUGUUGGUGGGGUAAUGGCCUACCAAGGCGUCGACGGGUAGCCGGCCUGAGAGGGUGUACGGCCACAUUGGGACUGAGAUACGGCCCAGACUCCGACGGGAGGCAGCAGUGGGGAAUAUUGCACAAUGGGCGCAAGCCUGAUGCAGCGACGCCGCGUGGGGGAUGACGGCCUUCGGGUUGUAAACUCCUUUCGCAAUCGACGAAGCCUUUUGGUGACGGUAGGUUGAGAAGAAGCACCGGCUAACUACGUG
rnacentral:rRNA from 1 species